GAUACCCUAUUAUUUUAGAUGUUAUUAGUUUUCUAUAAUUAUUAUUAGUUAAGUUCUUUAAAAUUAAACAAUUUGGCGGUAUUUUAGUCUAUUCAGAGGAACCUGUUUUUUAAUUGAUGGUCCACGAUAAUUUUUACUUUGGCUUUAAAUUUAUAUAUCGUCGUUGUUAAAAAUUUUGGGAGGACUAUAAUUUUUAGGAUUUUUUAUUCAGGAUAAAUUCAGAUCAAGGUGUAGUUUAUGCUUAAGUUAAAAUGGGUUACAUUUCAUUUAUGAUUGGUUCUUUUUUUUAAAUUUUUUGAUAAAUUGGAUUUGAAGGUAAAUUCU
rnacentral:rRNA from 1 species